rnacentral:rRNA from 1 species
CGGUUAAGUUAGAAAGGGCGCACGGUGGAUGCCUUGGCACUAGGAGCCGAUGAAGGACGGGACGAACACCGAUAUGCUUCGGGGAGCUGUAAGCAAGCUUUGAUCCGGAGAUUUCCGAAUGGGGAAACCCACCACUCGUAAUGGAGUGGUAUCCAUAUCUGAAUACAUAGGAUAUGAGAAGGCAGACCCGGGGAACUGAAACAUCUAAGUACCCGGAGGAAGAGAAAGCAAAUGCGAUUCCCUGAGUAGCGGCGAGCGAAACGGGAUCAGCCCAAACCAAGAGGCUUGCCUCUUGGGGUUGUAGGACACUCUGUACGGAGUUACAAAGGAACGAGGUAGAUGAAGAGGUCUGGAAAGGCCCGCCAUAGGAGGUAACAGCCCUGUAGUCAAAACUUCGUUCUCUCCUGAGUGGAUCCUGAGUACGGCGGAACACGUGAAAUUCCGUCGGAAUCCGGGAGGACCAUCUCCCAAGGCUAAAUACUCCCUAGUGACCGAUAGUGAACCAGUACCGUGAGGGAAAGGUGAAAAGCACCCCGGAAGGGGAGUGAAAGAGAUCCUGAAACCGUGUGCCUACAAGUAGUCAGAGCCCGUUAACGGGUGAUGGCGUGCCUUUUGUAGAAUGAACCGGCGAGUUACGAUCCCGUGCAAGGUUAAGCAGAAGAUGCGGAGCCGCAGCGAAAGCGAGUCUGAAUAGGGCGAAUUGAGUACGUGGUCGUAGACCCGAAACCAGGUGAUCUACCCAUGUCCAGGGUGAAGUUCAGGUAACACUGAAUGGAGGCCCGAACCCACGCACGUUGAAAAGUGCGGGGAUGAGGUGUGGGUAGGGGUGAAAUGCCAAUCGAACCUGGAGAUAGCUGGUUCUCUCCGAAAUAGCUUUAGGGCUAGCCUCAAGGUAAGAGUCUCGGAGGUAGAGCACUGAUUGGACUAGGGGCCCCUACCGGGUUACCGAAUUCAGUCAAACUCCGAAUGCCGAUGACUUAUCCUUGGGAGUCAGACUGCGAGUGAUAAGAUCCGUAGUCGAAAGGGAAACAGCCCAGACCGCCAGCUAAGGUCCCAAAGUAUACGUUAAGUGGAAAAGGAUGUGGAGUUGCUUAGACAACCAGGAUGUUGGCUUAGAAGCAGCCACCAUUUAAAGAGUGCGUAAUAGCUCACUGGUCGAGUGACUCUGCGCCGAAAAUGUACCGGGGCUAAACGUAUCACCGAAGCUGCGGACUGUUCUUCGAACAGUGGUAGGAGAGCGUUCUAAGGGCUGUGAAGCAAGACCGGAAGGACUUGUGGAGCGCUUAGAAGUGAGAAUGCCGGUAUGAGUAGCGAAAGAGGGGUGAGAAUCCCCUCCACCGAAUGCCUAAGGUUUCCUGAGGAAGGCUCGUCCGCUCAGGGUUAGUCGGGACCUAAGCCGAGGCCGAAAGGCGUAGGCGAUGGAUAACAGGUUGAUAUUCCUGUACCACCUCCUCACCAUUUGAGCAAUGGGGGGACGCAGGAGGAUAGGGUAAGCGCGGUAUUGGAUAUCCGCGUCCAAGCAGUUAGGCUGGGAAAUAGGCAAAUCCGUUUCCCGUGAAGGCUGAGCUGUGAUGGCGAGCGAAUUAUAGUAGCGAAGUUCCUGAUUCCACACUGCCAAGAAAAGCCUCUAGCGAGGUGAGAGGUGCCCGUACCGCAAACCGACACAGGUAGGCGAGGAGAGAAUCCUAAGGUGAUCGAGAGAACUCUCGUUAAGGAACUCGGCAAAAUGACCCCGUAACUUCGGGAGAAGGGGUGCUCUGUUAGGGUGCAAGCCCGAGAGAGCCGCAGUGAAUAGGCCCAGGCGACUGUUUAGCAAAAACACAGGUCUCUGCGAAGCCGUAAGGCGAAGUAUAGGGGCUGACGCCUGCCCGGUGCUGGAAGGUUAAGAGGAGCGCUUAGCGUAAGCGAAGGUGCGAAUUGAAGCCCCAGUAAACGGCGGCCGUAACUAUAACGGUCCUAAGGUAGCGAAAUUCCUUGUCGGGUAAGUUCCGACCCGCACGAAAGGCGCAACGAUCUGGGCACUGUCUCAACGAGAGACUCGGUGAAAUUAUAGUACCUGUGAAGAUGCAGGUUACCCGCGACAGGACGGAAAGACCCGUGGAGCUUUACUGCAGCCUGAUAUUGAAUGUUGGUACAGCUUGUACAGGAUAGGUAGGAGCCUUGGAAACCGGAGCGCCAGCUUCGGUGGAGGCAUCGGUGGGAUACUACCCUGGCUGUAUUGACCUUCUAACCCGCCGCCCUUAUCGGGCGGGGAGACAGUGUCAGGUGGGCAGUUUGACUGGGGCGGUCGCCUCCUAAAAGGUAACGGAGGCGCCCAAAGGUUCCCUCAGAAUGGUUGGAAAUCAUUCGCAGAGUGUAAAGGCACAAGGGAGCUUGACUGCGAGACCUACAAGUCGAGCAGGGACGAAAGUCGGGCUUAGUGAUCCGGUGGUUCCGCAUGGAAGGGCCAUCGCUCAACGGAUAAAAGCUACCCGGGGAUAACAGGCUUAUCUCCCCCAAGAGUCCACAUCGACGGGGAGGUUUGGCACCUCGAUGUCGGCUCAUCGCAUCCUGGGGCUGUAGUCGGUCCCAAGGGUUGGGCUGUUCGCCCAUUAAAGCGGUACGCGAGCUGGGUUCAGAACGUCGUGAGACAGUUCGGUCCCUAUCCGUCGCGGGCGCAGGAAAUUUGAGAGGAGCUGUCCUUAGUACGAGAGGACCGGGAUGGACGCACCGCUGGUGUACCAGUUGUUCUGCCAAGGGCAUCGCUGGGUAGCUAUGUGCGGACGGGAUAAGUGCUGAAAGCAUCUAAGCAUGAAGCCCCCUCAAGAUGAGAUUUCCCAUUCCGCAAGGAAGUAAGAUCCCUGAAAGAUGAUCAGGUUGAUAGGUCUGAGGUGGAAGUGUGGCGACACAUGGAGCUGACAGAUACUAAUCGAUCGAGGACUUAACCAAUUU